UUCCUCUCUGUGUAAACGAUUUCUUACAAACUAAGCAGCUGAAAGGUUUUUCUCCUGUGUGAGUCAUCAUGUGUUUCUUCAGGGAUCCACUUUCAGAGAAAGCUUUACCACACUCAGAGCAGCUGAAAGGUUUUUCUCCUGUGUGGAUUAUAUUGUGUUUCUGUAAACUUCCACUAUGUGUAAAAGAUUUGUUACAAACUGAGCAGCUAAAAGGUUUCUCUCCUGUG